UUUUUAGUAUAGGUAUGUUCUGUGAAAUAUUUGGGACAUACUUACACUAAAA
rfam:Myotis lucifugus cont2.34348, whole genome shotgun sequence.